rnacentral:rRNA from 1 species
GUGGGGAAUCUUGCGCAAUGGGCGAAAGCCUGACGCAGCCAUGCCGCGUGAAUGAUGAAGGUCUUAGGAUUGUAAAAUUCUUUCACCGGGGACGAUAAUGACGGUACCCGGAGAAGAAGCCCCGGCUAACUUCGUGCCAGCAGCCGCGGUAAUACGAAGGGGGCUAGCGUUGCUCGGAAUUACUGGGCGUAAAGGGCGCGUAGGCGGAUCGGUAAGUCAGGGGUGAAAUCCCAGAGCUCAACUCUGGAACUGCCCUUGAUACUGGCGAUCUUGAGUGUGAGAGAGGUAUGUGGAACUCCGAGUGUAGAGGUGAAAUUCGUAGAUAUUCGGAAGAACACCAGUGGCGAAGGCGACAUACUGGCUCAUUACUGACGCUGAGGCGCGAAAGCGUGGGGAGCAAACAGGAUUAGAUACCCUAGUAGUCC